rnacentral:rRNA from 1 species
AUGAACGCUGGCGGCGUGCCUAAUACAUGCAAGUCGAGCGAACGGACGAGAAGCUUGCUUCUAUGAUGUUAGCGGCGGACGGGUGAGUAACACGUGGAUAACCUACCUAUAAGACUGGGAUAACUUCGGGAAACCGGAGCUAAUACCGGAUGAUAUUUUGAACCGCAUGGUUCAAAAGUGAAAGACGGUCUUGCUGUCACUUAUAGAUGGAUCCGCGCUGCAUUAGCUAGUUGGUAAGGUAACGGCUUACCAAGGCAACGAUGCAUAGCCGACCUGAGAGGGUGAUCGGCCACACUGGAACUGAGACACGGUCCAGACUCCUACGGGAGGCAGCAGUAGGGAAUCUUCCGCAAUGGGCGAAAGCCUGACGGAGCAACGCCGCGUGAGGGAUGAAGGUCUUCGGAUCGUAAAACUCUGUUAUUAGGGAAGAACAUAUGUGUAAGUAACUGUGCACAUCUUGACGGUACCUAAUCAGAAAGCCACGGCUAACUACGUG